rnacentral:rRNA from 1 species
AUGGACAUGGAGAUCCCGGUGAUCGACCUCCAGGGGCUCACCGGCGACGCCCCCCAGCGGUCGCAAGCCAUGGCGCGGCUCCACGAAGCCUGCAAGGACUGGGGCUUCUUCUGGGUGGACAGCCAUGGCGUCGACGCCGCGCUCAUGGAGGAGGUGAAGCGCUUCGUGUAUGCCCACUACGACGAGCAUCUCAAGCAUAGGUUCUACGCCUCCGACCUCGCCAAGGACUUGCAGCUGCCGGCGGAGGAAUCCAAAAUUGUCUCCGGUGAGGUGGACUGGGAGACCGCCUACUUCAUCCGGCACCGUCCCGCCAACAACGUCGCCGACUUCCCGGAGAUCCCGCCGGCCACACGGGAGAUGCUCGACGUGUACAUCAGCCAGAUGGUGUCGCUCGCGGAGCGGCUGGCCGAGUGCAUGAGCCUCAACCUGGGCCUGGACGGCGGCCUCGUCAGGGACACCUUCGCGCCGCCGUUCGUCGGCACCAAGGUCGCCAUGUACCCGGCCUGCCCGCGGCCGGACCUAGUGUGGGGCCUCCGCGCCCACACCGACGCCGGUGGCAUCAUCCUGCUCCUGCAGGACGACGUCGUCGGCGGGCUGGAGUUCUUCCGGGGCGACCGGGAGUGGGUUCCCGUGGGCCCCACCAAGGGCAGCAGGAUCUUCGUCAACAUCGGGGACCAGCUGGAGGUGAUGAGCGGCGGCGCCUACAGGAGCGUGCUGCACCGCGUCGCCGCCGUCGCCGAGGGGCGGCGGCUGUCGGUGGCGACGUUCUACAACCCCGGGGCCGACGCCGUUGUGGCGCCGGCGACCGCGGCGAGGGAGCCGGCGGCGCAGCUGUACCCCGGGCCGUACAGGUUCGGCGACUACCUGGACUACUACCAGGGCACCAAGUUUGCUGACAAGGCGGCGAGGUUUCAGGCUGUCAAGGAACUGUUCGGUUCACGGAUUGUGCACGAUUGA